rnacentral:rRNA from 1 species
CAGUAGCCGCGGUAAUACAGAGGGUGCAAGCGUUAAUCGGAUUUACUGGGCGUAAAGGGCGCGUAGGUGGUUAUUUAAGUGAGAUGUGAAAGCCCCGGGCUUAACCUGGGAACUGCAUCUUAUACUGGGUAACUGGAGUGCAGUAGAGGGUAGUGGAAUUUCCGGUGUAGCGGUGAAAUGCGUAGAUAUCGGAAGGAACACCAGUGGCGAAGGCGGCUACCUGGACUGAGACUGACACUGAGGCGCGAGAGCGUGGGGAGCAAACAGGAUUAGAUACCCGCGUAGUCCCUGUCUCUUAUAC